UUCGGGUAGUUAGUGGCGCACGGGUGCGUAACGCGAGGGAAUCUGCCCCUUGGUUCGGAAUAACAGUUGGAAACGACUGCUAAUACCGGAUGACGACGUAAGUCCAAAGAUUUAUCGCCGAGGGAUGAGCCCGCGUAGGAUUAGGUAGUUGGUGUGGUAAAGGCGCACCAAGCCGACGAUCCUUAGCUGGUCUGAGAGGAUGAUCAGCCACACUGGGACUGAGACACGGCCCAGACUCCUACGGGAGGCAGCAGUGGGGAAUAUUGGACAAUGGGCGAAAGCCUGAUCCAGCAAUGCCGCGUGAGUGAUGAAGGCCUUAGGGUUGUAAAGCUCUUUUACCCGGGAUGAUAAUGACAGUACCGGGAGAAUAAGCUCCGGCUAACUCCGUGCCAGCAGCCGCGGUAAUACGGAGGGAGCUAGCGUUAUUCGGAAUUACUGGGCGUAAAGCGCACGUAGGCGGCUUUGUAAGUAAGAGGUGAAAGCCCAGAGCUCAACUCUGGAAUUGCCUUUUAGACUGCAUCGCUUGAAUCAUGGAGAGGUCAGUGGAAUUCCGAGUGUAGAGGUGAAAUUCGUAGAUAUUCGGAAGAACACCAGUGGCGAAGGCGGCUGACUGGACAUGUAUUGACGCUGAG
rnacentral:rRNA from 1 species